AGCGAACGCUGGCGGCAGGCCUAACACAUGCAAGUCGAACGAACCUUUCGGGGUUAGUGGCGGACGGGUGAGUAACAUGUGGGAACGUGCCUUUAGGUUCGGAAUAACUCAGGGAAACUUGUGCUAAUACCGAAUGUGCCCUUCGGGGGAAAGAUUAAUCGCCUUUAGAGCGGCCCGCGUCUGAUUAGCUAGUUGGUUGAGGUAAUGGCUCACCAAGGCGACGAUCAGUAGCUGGUCUGAGAGGAUGAUCAGCCACAUUGGGACUGAGACACGGCCCAAACUCCUACGGGAGGCAGCAGUGGGGAAUCUUGCGCAAUGGGCGAAAGCCUGACGCAGCCAUGCCGCGUGAAUGAUGAAGGUCUUAGGAUUGUAAAAUUCUUUCACCGGGGACGAUAAUGACGGUACCCGGAGAAGAAGCCCCGGCUAACUUCGUG
rnacentral:rRNA from 1 species